UUAUAUUAAGAAAAAAAUUAUAAGAGUUAGUCAGUUAAUUUUUAUCGUCACGAUUUAAACACAAUAUAUAAAAUAAGAUCGCAUAAUGUACAUAUGUUAUAAAAAAAGAACUCACAAGCGGUCGGGAUUGUGUACCAGAGCUAGUCAACAUCGAAAAUGAAACGCGGUUCGUCAUUACGCGGUUCGCCAUUCAGAGUAUUACUGUGUGCAAGGCAAUUUGAGUUAAAGGACUCAACAAUAAAAAUAAUUAUAAUUAACGCAAUAGAAAUACUGAAGCGUAUUGGAUAUUAUAUUUUGGAUCCACUCCACAUCGAGAAAUCAUUUUCUAUUAAUAAUUGUAUCGAAGAUUCACGGCUUGUCGUCAAGAUUCUCCAGAAUGAAAGGUUUCAAAACAAACAAACAAAAAACAACAAAAACUACAGGGUUCCUUAAUCUUAUUGGGCUAUAUUUUGGGUUUACUUAACAUCGACCAAACACUAAUCCGUAAUACUUCCAUUACAUUUUCAACAUUUGUUUCUAGGGUGCAAAAAAUUGGUUUCAUAAAAAGUGUUGAAAAUUGGUUAUAACAAAAAUAACCACAAAUUAAAUAAAAUAUCUACAUAUAUCUAUAGUAUAAAUACAUAUAUGACUAAUAUUGUUGUGAACAUUAACCAGCAUAUUUUGAUUUGAUUUAAAAUUCACAAUGAAUCUCACACAAUAGUGAUUUUAUCAGAGACGAGUGGCUGCAGAAUAUAGUCCCGCCCAUUUGCUCUGAUAUGAUUUUAAAUCUGUGUGGACAUUAUAUUGAUUUUUUUGUGAUUCUGCAUCAAAUAACCUGCAUGGACUCUUAUGAAAGGAAGUAAAACAUUUGUAAAGAAGGGUUUUAGAAGAUUGAUUUACUUCUAAUAAUUGCUUAAGAAUGUGGGAUGUUUCUUCGCAACAAGUUUCUUUAAUACUUUUUAUAUAUGUCUAUUUACAGAGAUUUACUUUUGCUCUACAAUUUGUAAUAUGAUUGGAUGAUUAAUUCUAUGGAAACAUGCUUUUGAAUUCAACUAUAUAUACACAUAAUACUUUUCAAUGUAUCUACCAUAUAUUGAAAGACGUCGCUAUACAAUAAACUUCUGAUAUGAAAAUUCUGUUAAAUAUUUUCAACUCACUGGCUCAUAUGGCAACUAUAACAUAUGGUCAUACAUAGCAACUUCUCGGAAUUUAAUAUAGAUUUGUACUUGAUCGUAACAUAUGUUCUUGAUUGAUUAGUUCGCAGAAUUGGAAAUUUGAACUUUAUUGCGGAAUUGUUUAUGUCAGCGUGGAGAGAAAAGUUAUCUUCAAUAUAUAUAUAUAGAAUUU